GAGAUGCCCCAGUUGGGGUAGGAAUCGGCCAUUUGCAUUUGGUUGCAUCUUCUCUCACUCUCUGCUUCAUCAUCCUCUAUCAUCGAAAUGGUUUGUGUGGCGUUGGCACUAUGUCAGUUCGCCACCAGCAUUGAAGGUGCUGCAUAGACCACCACAUGAUCCGAGGGACGAGGGCUGAACUGGUACCAUGAUAUGUUUACACGUGCCCUUUACAAACAUCCGAAGGGGCUGCCUCUUACGGAUAUACAACAGUGGUGCAUUUAGCAUAAUCCUUUUGUCAUCCGGGCCCACAGAUGGAUUGAUGGCAACUUUGAAUCAACGGAUACUAUAAGAAAGAAUUCUGAAAGAUUUCUUCCUUAUUUGUUCGAUGGAGUCUGCCUGAUUUGCCAGACGGAUACUUGUACGAAUUUCACCUGAUUGCGUACUUUCUAUUUUUAGACGGAUUCUUUUGAUUUGGUGAAUAUAUUUCACCUAAUUUCCUAAAU